rnacentral:rRNA from 1 species
UACGAAGGGGGCUAGCGUUGCUCGGAAUUACUGGGCGUAAAGCGCGCGCAGGCGGUUCUUCAAGUCAGUGGUGAAAGCCCGGAGCUCAACUCCGGAAUUGCCAUUGAAACUGUGGAACUUGAGGAUGAGAGAGGUGAGUGGAAUUCCCAGUGUAGAGGUGAAAUUCGUAGAUAUUGGGAAGAACACCGGUGGCGAAGGCGGCUCACUGGCUCAUUUCUGACGCUCAGGCGCGACAGCGUGGGGAUCAAACAGG